GAGUUUGAUCCUGGCUCAGGACGAACGCUGGCGGCGUGCCUAAUACAUGCAAGUCGAGCGGAUCUUCAUUAGCUUGCUUUUGGAGAUCAGCGGCGGACGGGUGAGUAACACGUGGGCAACCUGCCUGUAAGACUGGGAUAACUUCGGGAAACCGGAGCUAAUACCGGAUAAUCCUUUUCCUCUCAUGAGGAAAAGCUGAAAGACGGUUUCGGCUGUCACUUACAGAUGGGCCCGCGGCGCAUUAGCUAGUUGGUGAGGUAACGGCUCACCAAGGCGACGAUGCGUAGCCGACCUGAGAGGGUGAUCGGCCACACUGGGACUGAGACACGGCCCAGACUCCUACGGGAGGCAGCAGUAGGGAAUCUUCCGCAAUGGACGAAAGUCUGACGGAGCAACGCCGCGUGAGCGAUGAAGGCCUUCGGUCGUAA
rnacentral:rRNA from 1 species